ACGAAGGGAGCUAGCGUUGUUCGGAAUUACUGGGCGUAAAGGGCGCGUAGGCGGUUUAACAAGUCAGGUGUGAAAGCCCUGGGCUCAACCCGGGAAUUGCGCUUGAUACUGUUAAGCUUGAAUUCGGUAGAGGUUGGUGGAAUUCCCAGUGUGGAGGUGAAAUGCGUAGAGAUUGGGAAGAGCACGCGUGGCGAAGGCGGCCAUCUGGUCCGACAUUGACGCUGAGGCGCGAAAGCGUGGGGAUCAAACAG
rnacentral:rRNA from 1 species